rnacentral:snRNA from 1 species
AUACUCACCUGAAAGAGUGAGAGAUACCAUGAUAAAAAAAAAUGUGGCUUUCUGAAGGCAAGGCAUAUCUAUUGCACUCUGGAUGAGCUGAUCCCUGGUUUCCCCAAAUAAUGGGAAAUCGGCGACAUAGUUGAAAUUGAUGAUAGAUGAGAUUUACACACGAUGGCUAACCACUUUUAU